UACGUAGGGUGCAAGCGUUGUCCGGAAUUAUUGGGCGUAAAGAGCUCGUAGGCGGUUUGUCGCGUCUGCUGUGAAAACUCGGGGCUUAACUCCGGGCCUGCAGUGGGUACGGGCAGACUAGAGUGCGGUAGGGGAGACUGGAAUUCCUGGUGUAGCGGUGAAAUGCGCAGAUAUCAGGAGGAACAUCGGUGGCGAAGGCGGCAUCCUGGACCGGUAUUGACGCUGAGGCGCGAAAGCCAGGGGAGCAAACGGG
rnacentral:rRNA from 1 species